rnacentral:rRNA from 1 species
UGGCGACCAUAGCGUUGCGGACCCACCUGAUUCCAUGCCGAACUCAGAAGUGAAACGCAAUAGCGCCGAUGGUAGUGUGGGGCUUCCCCAUGUGAGAGUAGGACAUCGCCAGGCU